rnacentral:lncRNA from 1 species
CAAAACAACAAGUUGGGUUGUGAGCUUGCAAAACAACCGACUGUAAUCUGAGGGAUUAUAGUGAAAUUCCCAAGAGGUCUUGGGGAGUGGAUGUAGGUGUUGGGAUGCACCGAACUACUAUACUUUUGUUGUGUUUGUGAUGCUCUUUGUUGUCUGACUUUCUCACUCACUUACUUACUUAGAUACUAUGCUUCCUUAACUCUUCUCCGUGCAUCCUUUAGUUGCAAGCAUAUUCAAUUUACUUAAUCAAGUCUCAUUCAAUUGAAUUGCAUACUUGGACAAACUUAGACUAAUCUUUUAUUGAGUCCGCUGCUUAAUAGUUGAUUAGAUUAGAAUCAUACUCUUGCUAAGUUUAAAUUCCACUAAGCAUCCAUACAACUUAGCUUAAUUAACUCUAAAAGAUUAGAAGUAGUUGAAAAGUUUUUAAAAGACCCAAUUCACCCCCCCUCUUGGGUUGUCACCUUGGGCAACAAUUAUACUCCUUUAUGAGUAAUUAAAUUGGAUCUGAAUUGUGAAAUGACUUCUUUUGUAAAUUGAUUUCAUUUCCUC